AUUUCGUGCCGCUGUUGGUGGUCGAUGAGGAGCUCCAGGGCCACUUUCGUAUCGCCUUCUGCCAAGUCGCUGCAAGCAUGGGUGUCCCGUACAUCCAUCUUGCAGAUGACUUCCCCACGCGGCGUGUGGACAUGUGGUGCAGAGACGGUGUCCACUUGAGUGACGACUGCGGGAUGCCUAUCCUUGCUCAGUUGCUGUGGAUGGCUGCCUACCACCAGCUGGCGACGCCGCCACCAGAGUCUCGGGUGCCCCGCACCACGUCCCCCGG